GUCGGGUUGCCGGGAUGUUAAGAAAUGGCUCUAAAGUGCUGAAGUCACAGCUGUGUGAGCUAGUAAAGGUAGGUGGUGAAGUGAGCUAGUAGAGGUAUGUGGUGAAGUGAGCUAGUAGAGGUAUGUGGUGAAGUGAGCUAGUAGAGGUAUGUGGUGAAGUGAGCUAGUAGAGGUAGGUGGUGAAGUGAGCUAGUAAAGGUGGUGAAGUGAGCUAGUAAAGGUGGUGAAGUGAGCUAGUAGAGGUAGGUGGUGAAGUGAGCUAGUAGAGGUAGGUGGUGAAGUGAGCUAGUAGAGGUAGGUGGUGAAGUGAGCUAGUAGAGGUGGUGAAGUGAGCUAGUAAAGGUGCUGAAAUUAGCUAGUAAAGGUGCUGAAAUUAGCUAGUAAAGGUGCUGAAGUGAGCAAGCUAGCCUGUAUCAAUAGAAGCAAGUCGUCCUUCGCAGCGUCACUUCGCAGUUCCAGAUGUUGCCGGUGGUUUCUCAUCUGCAAUCACGCCGUUAGUUUCACGUGUGCGCUGUUCCGUCACACGCUGAGCUUCAGG
ensembl:lncRNA